GCCUAAUACAUGCAAGUCGAACGCUUUUUCUUUCACCGGAGCUUGCUCCAWCGAAAGAAAAAGAGUGGCGAACGGGUGAGUAACACGUGGGUAACCUGCCCAUCAGAAGGGGAUAACACUUGGAAACAGGUGCUAAUACCGUAUAACACUAUUUUCCGCAUGGAAGAAAGUUGAAAGGCGCUUUUGCGUCACUGAUGGAUGGACCCGCGGUGCAUUAGCUAGUUGGUGAGGUAACGGCUCACCAAGGCCACGAUGCAUAGCCGACCUGAGAGGGUGAUCGGCCACACUGGGACUGAGACACGGCCCAGACUCCUACGGGAGGCAGCAGUAGGGAAUCUUCGGCAAUGGACGAAAGUCUGACCGAGCAACGCCGCGUGAGUGAAGAAGGUUUUCGGAUCGUAAAACUCUGUUGUUAGAGAAGAACAAGGAUGAGAGUAGAACGUUCAUCCCUUGACGGUAUCUAACCAGAAAGCCACGGCUAACUACGUGCCAGCAGCCGCGGUAAUACGUAGGUGGCAAGCGUUGUCCGGAUUUAUUGGGCGUAAAGCGAGCGCAGGCGGUUUCUUAAGUCUGAUGUGAAAGCCCCCGGCUCAACCGGGGAGGGUCAUUGGAAACUGGGAGACUUGAGUGCAGAAGAGGAGAGUGGAAUUCCAUGUGUAGCGGUGAAAUGCGUAGAUAUAUGGAGGAACACCAGUGGCGAAGGCGGCUCUCUGGUCUGUAACUGACGCUGAGGCUCGAAAGCGUGGGGAGCGAACAGGAUUAGAUACCCUGGUAGUCCACGCCGUAAACGAUGAGUGCUAAGUGUUGGAGGGUUUCCGCCCUUCAGUGCUGCAGCAAACGCAUUAAGCACUCCGCCUGGGGAGUACGACCGCAAGGUUGAAACUCAAAGGAAUUGACGGGGGCCCGCACAAGCGGUGGAGCAUGUGGUUUAAUUCGAAGCAACGCGAAGAACCUUACCAGGUCUUGACAUCCUUUGACCACUCUAGAGAUAGAGCUUCCCCUUCGGGGGCAAAGUGACAGGUGGGUGCAUGGGUUGUCGUCAGCUUC
rnacentral:rRNA from 1 species